AACGAACGCUGGCGGCAGGCCUAACACAUGCAAGUCGAACGCUCCAGCAAUGGAGAGUGGCAGACGGGUGAGUAACGCGUGGGAACCUUCCCUAUGGUUAGGAAUAGCCCAGGGAAACUUGGGGUAAUACCGAAUAAGCCCUUCGGGGGAAAGAUUUAUCGCCAUUGGAUGGGCCCGCGUCGGAUUAGCUAGUUGGGGGGGUAACGGCCUACCAAGGCGACGAUCCGUAGCUGGUCUGAGAGGAUGAUCAGCCACACUGGGACUGAGACACGGCCCAGACUCCUACGGGAGGCAGCAGUGGGGGAUAUAGGACAAUGGGCGCAAGCCUGAUCCAGCCAUGCCGCGUGAGUGACGAAGGCCUUAGGGUUGUAAAGCUCUUUUGGCGGGGAAGAUAAUGACGGUACCCGCAGAAUAAGCUCCGGCUAACUUCGUGCCAGCAGCCGCAGUAAAAC
rnacentral:rRNA from 1 species